rnacentral:rRNA from 1 species
CCGCGACCCCAGGUCAGGCGGGACUACCCGCUGAGUUUAAGCAUAUCAAUAAGCGGGAGGAAAAGAAACUUACAAGGAUUCCCUUA